rnacentral:rRNA from 1 species
AUUGCACGCUGGCGGCAGGCUUAACACAUGCAAGUCGGACGAGUGGCGGACGGGUGAGUAAUGCUUGGGAAUCUAGAUUAUGGAGGGGGAUAACUACGGGAAACUGUAGCUAAUACCGCGUACCAUAGGAUGAGCCCAAGGGGGAUUAGGUAGGUGGUGAGGUAAAGGCUCACCAAGCCGACGAUAUCUAGCUGGUCUGAGAGGAUGACCAGCCAAGAGGUGAAUGAGACACGUCACAGACGCCGACGGGAGGCAGCAGUGGGGAGUAUUGCGCAAUGGGGGCAACCUGACGCAGCCAUGCCGCGUGAAUGAAGAAGGCCUUCGGGUUGGAAAGUUCUUUCGGUAGCGAGGCGUUAACUACAGAAGAAGCACCGGCUAACUCCGUGCCAGCAGCCGCGGUAAUAC